UUGUGCCCCCGGCAGGAUUCGAACCUGCGACACCGGCUUUAGGAGAGCCGUGCUCUAUCCCCUGAGCUACGAGGGC
rnacentral:tRNA from 1 species